rnacentral:rRNA from 1 species
UACGUAGGGUGCGAGCGUUAAUCGGAAUUACUGGGCGUAAAGCGUGCGCAGGCGGUUUUAUAAGUCAGAUGUGAAAUCCCCGGGCUCAACCUGGGAACUGCAUUUGUGACUGUAGAGCUGGAGUGCGGCAGAGGGGGAUGGAAUUCCGCGUGUAGCAGUGAAAUGCGUAGAUAUGCGGAGGAACACCGAUGGCGAAGGCAAUCCCCUGGGCCUGCACUGACGCUCAUGCACGAAAGCGUGGGGAGCAAACAGG